CCAUCUGAAAGAGUUGGACCUGAGCUACAAUCAUCCAGGAGACUCAGGAGUGAAGCUGCUGUCGGCUGGACUGAAGGAUCCACGCUGGAGACUGGAAGCUCUCAGGGUGGAGCCUGCUGGAGUCCGAUGGUUGACACCAGGUCUGAGGAAGUAUUCCUGUCAA